GGAUGCGGAGCGCGGUGCUGCCGGUGGAGCUUCAGGUCUUGAUAGACUUUCUGUAAAGAAGGAAUGAUUUGGUGAUGGAGUGUUCCCACUGACCGAUGGACUCAAAGAAGAGAAGCUCAACAGAGGCAGAAGGAUCCAAGGAAAGAGGCCUGGUCCAUAUCUGGCAGGCAGGAUCCUUUCCCAUAACACCAGAGAGAUUGCCAGGCUGGGGAGGAAAGACUGUUUUGCAGGCAGCCCUCGGAGUGAAACAUGGAGUUCUUCUGACUGAAGGAACUAAAGGAAGACAAAUUCUAGGAAACAAGGAUUAAAUCUGGUCCUGGUGGUUGUAUGGGAUAAACAUGGAUUUCUUUCUAGUUUGUCUUAUAUCAGUUUUAUUAUAACAUUAUUCUUCAGGACUUUAAAAACAAUCUUACUUUAAAAGUGUGAACUAUAUUCAAUACCUGUCCUAUGAGAUUUAAAAUAUAUAGUUCUCAAGCAAAUAUAAGUGGAAU
rnacentral:sRNA from 1 species